rnacentral:lncRNA from 1 species
GAAUUGUGAUGACAGCAUGACUGUGUGUCCCGGGAGAAGAUCUGCUCCGUGGUCUAAUGGAAUCUAUGAUUUAUCCACUCAUCUGUAUUCAAGCCAAAUCUUCAUGGUGAAAUCCUAAGCAAUCUGGCAGUUGGUGGAAAAUCGGUAUUUUUCAAGUCACUUGAAUUGUUCAAUGGUCACAAGAAACUACUAGUUGCUUAUUUUAGUGAAUUAUGCUGCAUUCACUGGGAUACAGCAAACAUACAGCAAAGUCUACACAAAUCUCUAGCUGAUAAAGAACAGUACAAGCAGCACCUGUGCCAAGACCCCCAGAAGGGCCCAGCCAUGUGGACAACGGGGAGGAGCUGGGGCUUUGGGCACAGCCCUGCUGCAGAGCCUGGGCCUGAGCAGCUCUUUGUGAGCCAGGGUCCUGUCACAUCCGUCUUCUGUGCCGUCAAAUGGAUGCCUGCUGACAUUCUCUGGAAUUCAAUUUGUUGUUUUGUAAAAAUAUCUGCUGGAGGCAAUUCAAGAUGCCUUUUAACUGAUAAAGAGGGGACUUUCAAAUGCAGAUC